AGCCAUCUUUAGCUUAUGCUUGUUUUGGGGGAUAGUCCCCUUCAAUUUUUUCUUCAGCAUAUAAAAGGCACGCUCAAUUGGGUUCAGAUCGGGUGAUUGACUUGGCCACUCAAGAAUUGACCAUUGUUUAGCUUUGAAAACUCCUUUGCAUUAUGGUUGGGAUC